ACUCUCCCCUGCCAUUGCUCUCUGCAUAGGCGAGUGUCUCCCUCAAACGCCUGAGGAUCUUUUCUCCCAUGAGGAGCUGGAACCUGACAGCAUCGAGCGACGGCCUGUCAAAGAUGGCGGGGGCACGAACAGCAUCACCGUGAGGAAUGCCACAUUCACCUGGGCCAGGGGCGACCCUCCCACGCUGAAUGGACGCGGAUCUUGGUCAUGCACAGCAUGAGCUACUUGCCACAGGUGGAUGUCAUCAUUGUCAUGAGUGGCGGCAAGAUCUCUGAGAUGGGCUCCUACCAGGAGCUGCUGGCCCAAGACGGCGCCUUCGCUGAGUUCCUGCGUACCUAUGCCAGCACAGAGCAGGAGCAGGACCCAGAGGAGAACGGUAGGGGCAGCCCCAGGGUUCCUCCCGCUCGGGGUGUCUGGCGCCUUGAAGGGCCACAUUGGCCUCUUUGAGGUUGCCACCAGCCACUCGGGGAAGGCGG